rnacentral:lncRNA from 1 species
UGGGUUCUUGCAUCAUAGUGAUUCUAAAUGACUAGAAGUGAAGGGUCUGUCUGGCACAGCAGUUGGGGACCAGUACUGAGAUUUCAGGACUUCCGAUAUGACCGUCUUUGUGGAUCAGGCUGCCUUUACAUUCAAGGUCGGAAGCAGAGGGUAAUAAGGUGUAAUGGAAUGAGAAUGGAACAAGCACAGGAUCUGGAGACACAAGCCAGGUCUCCAGUCACUGCUUAGCCGGAGAUGAAUGGCUGGAGACCUUGGACACAAUGCUGCCUUGGGUCUCAGGAGGAGUUGCACCAGAAGAUUUUGCUCACCUAGCAACACUGGCUGUGGCUGAGGAGUGGUGUUCCUCUACACAGAGCCUGGGCUUUCCUCCAGACUUGCUGCCCUCUUGCAAGCCCCCUGCCUGAUGUCACCUGCCUGAUGCUGGUGCUUUUCGACUGCUGUAUCUAUGAAGGGAGAAGCAUUUGCUGCUGAAACACUUGAGAGUAAAGUUUAGCAGAGUAAGAGAGACAUAAAUCUAGAGGUUUGGGAUAGUUUUUUUUUUAAAGGAUGUAUCAUUCGUUUAUUUUAAAAAGUCUAAGAAGAAAAGAGGAGAGCAGUGGGUACAUUCGAGAGCAUUUGAGGGUUAGAAAAGAUUUACAUCUUAGGAAUGAGGAUCCUUGAGCUUGUUUCCAAGUUCAUGGUGUUUUGAGUGUGGCAAGACUUUUUAAUAAUAUGAAUGAUGCCCAUGGAAUCUUCUGUAACAUUCAAUCGACGGGAAUCCCGAAGUACUAUAUAUCCCAGAUCUUUAUUUUCCCAAACACAUUGGAGUAUGAAGGACAUGUUGUGAAUGACAGAAUUCUGUCAUUAUAUUUAAUUUACUAUCAAAUUUACCUACUAAAGUGGAGGACUGAUUAAGAUAAAUACAGACAAUGAUCUCAUCCUGGAAGGAAUUACUAUGGAAAAAUAAUUUGACAAGAAGAUCCACUUUUUAUCUGAACAAUAAAACAUAUCAAUUUCUCAAAACCUCUUAUGUUUGGCCAGUUCAUCUGGUGAGAGAAUGGAAAAAGGGAGACAUUCAUCAAUUUUACAACCUGCAGUCCAUCCUCAGACCAAAUCAGGAAGAAGAGUGCAUGGAGAAAACAUUUGGGAAGAAAAGGUAUUUUCAAAACAUCUGGAGCAAGAGACAAAUCCCAUCAGCUCAGUUCCAACAAUAUAUGCAGGAGGAUGUCUUUCAUGCAGUUAACACACAUGGAAACUUUAAAUGCUACCUUCAGAAUAUUUUCCUCACCCGUAUGUCACUCCUUCAUCUCAGCACUUCCAUCUGAUUUGGCCCCUCAGGCUGGAGUGCAGUGGCGUGAUCAUGGCUCACUGCAGCCUCAAUCUCCAGGGCUCGUGUGAUCCUACCACCUGAACCUCCUGAGGAGCUGGGAUCCUACUACCUGAACCUCCUGAGGCGCAAUAUGCAUUGCGCCACCAUGCCCAGCUAAACUGUGGCGUCAUGUAGAAGGAAGGCUAAUAUGGAUGUGAGGUUCAAGAUCAAGAUGGGCAACUGAUGGUCAGACUCCAGUGGUUCUUCAAAACUUUCUAGGAGGUAAACAAGAUGAAAGGGAAAGCACACAAAUUUGCUGGAAUUUGGAAAACACGAACCCUGGAAUUUGGAGGAGUCACUUCCACUGGAAAAUACUUUUAUAUUAUUUAUAGUGGCUACCAUUACCGUGCUCACUUUACAGGUGAGGUUCAGAGAUUUAUGUAACAUGCCAAAGGUCACACAGCUGGACACAGCAGAACCAAGAUUCAAAUCUGCACAGGCUCUCAACCAAUUGGAUGGCACCUGCCCACCUUCCCUAAGAGUCGUUCUUCCUUACUUAGUACACUGAUUCAAAUGCCAUCUCUCCUGGAAACAUCCUGACAGACAUGCCCAGAAAUAAUGUUUUACUGGCUAUCUAGAUAUCCCUCAACCCAGUCAAGUUGACACCUAAAAUGAACCAUCACAAUACCAAUUGUGAAAACUGUGUUACUAUUUGUCAAAGAUUUGGCUUUCCCAUCUGGUGAGAAAAUUAUACUUGCCCAACCUGUUGAAAUCAGGCAGGGCAAUGACUGACUUAACUAUGGCUAACAAAAUAUAAACAGAAGUGAUAUGUGUCACUUUUAGGCAGAAGUUUUCAGAGUCGCUGCUUGAUGAUAAGACAUGUUCUUUUUCACUAGUCUUCAAAUAUGGAAGCAUGUGAAAAGUCUGGGCACCUCACGGACCACAAGGAGCAGAGGUCCCUGGAUAACACAUGAUGGAUGUGUGACAAGAAUGAGAAAUAAACAGUGUUGGUUUAAGCCUCUGAGAUUUUGAUUCCACUGCAUAGCCUAGCCUCUCCAGAAUGGCCAAGCAAACCUUCCCAAACAGACCUGAUGACGAGUCAGCGGCUGAAAUCAGCCUUCAAAACUAGCUCCCAGUGAAUGGACAAUGAAACUUAGAAAUGAAUAAACUGAAAGCACGUGAAAGGACUGGAAAAAUAGUAAAAGGAGUAAUCAGUAACAACUUCUGACUUCCUCUAGCCAUCCUUCCACUUAACUAAGAAAAUUUGAAGCAACAAAAACAAUGUAUGCAAGCCUACAUCACGACAUUUAUCUGCCUUCAAGACUCCACUCACACAGUUUGUCUUUCCUGUUGCAAUUAGAGUGAACUGGUAGUGAUCUUAUCUGAGACCAAUUUAUAUGUGUGUUCUAAACCUCAUCUCUUCCAGCCUCCUCAGGAACAACAAUUCUCCUGCCUUUCUUCUAUGCCAUUAAUUUCUUCCCUUCUACCACUGCAUUCUCAUCAGCAUUUAACAUGGGUCUUGCAUCAUAUCCCAAUACUCCUGUUAACAGCCAGCCACAUGGGACUACUUGUCAAUCACCUAAGCCUACAAUGCAUUGUCAUUAUGUUAUGCUUUAGGUGAACUGGUGAUCUUCUGCUUGAAAUGUUACUUACCCCCUGCAACCAUACAAACAUAGUUUGUCUCUCAAACCCUCCAAAUAUUCCCUCUGUGAAACAUUUUCUGAUUUUCCUCAAUGAGAAUUAUUUCACUUUUGUUUUCUCAACAGUUUUUUUUCAUUCACUUAUUUGAAGUGCUUACUAUAUUGCCAAUCAGUGAACAAGAUGUUUUAAAGGAAAUGUGGGCACAUUUGGGCAUAUGCACAAACAACACAAGGCAAUUAUCCUAAUUAUGUUUUGAAUCAAAUUCUAAAUGUAAUCAUUUGUGGUUAAACAUAUGGAACUAAUAGUUGAGCACUUUUAACUUUUAUUUUGAUUAUCUCUUUAUUUAUCCACCUUUCCUUGUAGUAUACUAGUGUUGGAUGAAAGCUUUCUUUGGUCACUGGGGUUCAUUGGUUAUUGGUCAAGACCAUGAGGCUCAGAGUAAUGCAGAUGUGACUUAAAUGAAACCAGCCCAGCUGCGUGCUCACCUGAAACUUAUUUUCUCCUUCACGUUCCAAACUCAUGACUUGCUUGUGGCAGAAAAAAAGAACUACUUCGGGGUCCGCAACCCCUGGCAGUGGACCGGUACCAGCCCAUGGCCAGUUAGGAUCUGGGUAACACAGCAGCAGGGCCAUUUCAGUCCAAGGAGGAAUGGGACGCAUAGGUGACCACCAAAUAGUGAAGAAUAUGAAAAUCCAUGGUCAUCCCAGAAAAGAUGAGAAAAACUGAGGCUCAGAGAUGCAAAGUAGUUUUUCUAAGUAUUGGACUCAAAAGUCUUCAUUCUUUCUGCCACAAAAUGCUGCCUUAUAGCUGUCACAGCUAUGGGUAUACCACAGCACUGUGAAAUGGGAGAUUCCCUGAUCCCCCUGGCGGGAUGUGUGACAGGAGUAUGGCUCGCCUGUUCAGUUGCUGACACUGCUCAAAGCCCUGAUGGGAGGCGGGGCAUGCAGAUGGAUAGAUACAGGAGCUCAGGAUUGUUUUCUUCCAUCUGUGCAAAGUUCUACUUCCAUAGGGCAGGCCUUGUGCUGACCCAUGGAGGGCAUUGGAGAGGAAUCUUACUUGGUUUUUCUUGUAAAUUGGUAAGUCUUCUCCCUAUUCCUAUUCAAGGUCUAUAAGAGUAACUCUCAGAGGAGAGACUUGCAGUCAGACCUCCUAUUCCCCAAUGUUUUGAUGGUGGUGGUUCUCUGUUGCUUCUCUUAAAGGUCAAAAUCAUUAGCCUGAAGGUCUUACAUUUGGGGCAAGAAAGACUAAACCACCUGACUUAUUUUUGUCACAACUCAAAGGAAAGAUGGGAAUAUGGGUGAGAAGGACUGAUAUUCCCCAGGCAGAACUUUACAAGAACAGAAGGAAAUGUUUUCUUCAGAUGAUAAUCCAAGGAUGUGGUGAGCCCAGACAUGAGGGUAGUUGAGAAAGCAUGCCAGAGACUGUGCUGAAUGCAUUUGGAUUGCACAGGUUUGCCAGAUCCCAAAGCUAAUUAGGACUAGGCAGAAAGAGGCUCAGCACUCCACAGCCUGGCUAGUUCCCUUAAGGUAAUGCUUUUUUGAAGUCUGAGAAUAUCCCAUUGUUUAUUUAAGCUUUAGCCCUCAGCCUUUUCCAAAAGGAUUUGAAGGGGCUUAAACAUUAAUCAAAAUGCAAACUAAGAUUAUUAGUAAUAAGCCAAAAUCAAGUCUAUCCAAAUAAAUAAAUAAAAGAAUAAAUGUUGCCAGAGGUGGAAGAUAAGCUGAUUGUUUCUCUGGGUAAUGGGUUUGGCACCAGUGUGAGAAUAUUACCUGGGAUAUCCCUGAGGGAAGACAGAACCCAGGCACAUAUCUAACAAAAGACACUGUCAAAUCUCAAGGUUGGCCAAAUUACAGGGUUGAGCAACAUCUGCCCUCCCACCCACCAAUUCUGAGAUUAUUUUUAUUUUAUGUGGAAUUUUGUUUAAAUAAGCAUCACUUUCAGGGGUUGGUGGUGGUGGUAAAAUCAGACAUGAUUCCUGAUGGUGUAUGAGGAUGGUGAGAGGCACUCUUAACUCGAAUUAGUUGAAUUUGAGAGGGAAGUAUCUGGAUGAGCCUCAGCUUUUCCCUUUUCACCCAGAAGCAACAAAAAGAGCAAAGCAUUACUCUUCUCUCCUGGGGGACUGGCUGCCUCUGUGACUGCUCUAAGAGCCACAGUAUCAAUUCUACUCCCUCCCUACCUUGCCCGUCUUUCAUGUGGAAGGCAUUCAACAUUCUCCACCCCCAUUUCAGGGAAAGGUAAGCAGAUCCUGGAGCAGUGUUAUUUAAGACACAAGAAAAAUUGUACUAAAGUGUGUGCCUGUGUGUGUGUGUGUGUUUGUGUGUGGUGUGUGCUGAAUGUCAGUGAACUCAGGAACAAUAGAAGCCUACAGAUAUUUCUAGACCUUAGGGCAAGGUUUGGGCAAUUUCUCAAAUAAUCUUUCUUUCUGUUGCAGCCAUCAGCAGAAAUUUGAUGGGUCAUUGGCCAAUGCAUUCAUGAGUUUGGAGGGAGACAACUAAAACUUUACUGAGCUAGGCCAGACCACAAAGGUCUGGACCAGGUUUUCAGAUUGCUAAAAAUAACAAUUCUGACUUAUUAAUUACUGAGGCAGAACAGGAAUGAUAUACAUGAAGGACUAGGCUCUGAAAUGCCUCAGGGAGGCUGUAGAAGUCAGUCAAUGCCACAGUACCGCUGUGCAGCCAUCCCCACCCCCACUCCUCAGCUCGGUGGCUGAAAAACACAGAAUUAAUUUGUGCUCACACAUCUUUGGGCCAGCUAGAGUUUCAUUAAACUGAUCUGGGUUCCACUAAACUUAAACUUUGGGCCACGGAUUGAGGUCAGAGUCUCUUGUUCUGUAACGAGUAGGCAACUCAGGAACUUUCUAUCAUGGCUAUGGGAAAAGUGCAAGAAGACAAGUCCAAUCCUGCAUGCACAUUUCAAAUCACAUUUCAAUUGUACUAACAUCCCACUAUCUAAAACAAGUUCCAUGGCCAAAUCAAAGGUCAGCAGCCAGGGAAACAUUUUCUGUCUAUUCUGAGCCCAUGGCAAGAACUUGGAUGGAUGAUACUACAAGGGAGUGAAAAAUUGGGAACAAUAAUUCUAUGCCAAAGAAUAAUGCCAAAUAAUACCACUAAUGCCAAAGAGGCAUUCCUGAAUUGGUAGGUUAUGCAGCCUAUGUGGAGAAAGCAAAUUCUCUGGUUAGGAAAGCCCCAAACCAGAGACCUAGGGCUUUCUGUAAUGUUUUAGGCCAGUGAAAAGCGUAAGGUCGGAAAUCAGGUCCCCACUCAAGGAUGUCAUAUAAAGAUGUUGUCAUUAUAGCACACUUACAUCCUCCCAUAUUCUAUUUUUAACUGAGUCUUCAGGAGUACCUGAGGUUUCAACAUAACAGGGUAAGGUAAAGCCUUCCACGUGUUUUUUAAAUCUUUGUUUCUCUCUAGCAUGUUUUGUUCCACAAAGCUAAGGGCCAGGAAACCGUUUCUUUUUAUUAAUGAAACAAAUCUGUUCCUUGCUAUAGACAAUUUUUACUUUGUAGAGAUCUUAUUCCCUUCUUUGUGAGAACUUUCAGGAUGCUCAUGGAUAGCUCUGGCCAUGACAGUUUUAAUAGAGCUUCUUUUUCCUCUUUUAUUUAUGAUUUCUCUGUUUCACUACAUGGUUUUCAGUUUUACUGCCACUGAACAUUCAUUGCAGGCUGCCUUGAUUCAGUUUUGAAAGCAGACAAGCAAAGAAAGAAGGAGGGAGGGAGUGGAAAAGGAAGAAAUAAAAGAGAAAAAAGAUUGAACUUGGUAUCAUGUCUUGUCCUUAUGUUAAAUAAUAUUACAAUCAGGCAUAUUUUUUGGUCCUUAAUAUUAAACAACACUGAGAACAAGCAACAGUAACUUAGUUCCUGGAAGAUCCUUGCUCUUGGAAGAUAAUACCAACAGCCAACUAAAAUAGCUUACUUGUCAAGACUAAUAGUUUGCUCAUCAGAACUUCCUUCUGGAUCCCCAUAGUCCUAUUCUCAUCAACCCAAAGCUACUAUUGUAUAAACUCUGUCUUGCAAGACCCACCUUAAAAAAUGACCCAAUCUGGGCCCUUCCAUAAAUAUUCUCUCUCAUUAUUUCCCCUUGACCUUAUCGAGAUUGUGUUAUCCAGUACUGCAACAAAUCUAAUAAACUUAGAUUUGAAUAAUCAAUAGAUUUGUGGUCUUUAGGGAAAUCAUUAUUCAGCAGAAAAAAGCAAGUUUUUUAUUUGUAAAAAUCAGCCAUUGUCUUGUAUAUUUAUAUACCUGUGUAAGCUACAGAACAUACUCUGGCAAUAACCUAAAAUGCUACCAAUUUCAACCUUGUCAAAUACAUUAGUCAUCUCUGACUUUUGAUAGGAAAAGACACAUAUAACAACUGAAAAAAUUCAUUAAAAUGUGUGGUGGUUAUUAAGAAAGAUGAAGUUAUAUUUAUAAAACUAGCAAGUCAGUUUGAAAUAUUUUGACUUAAAAAGAUGAAUUGGGAAAUCUUUUUUUCUUUAUUUUAGGGUCAAGAGGUACAUGUGCAGAUUUGUUACAUGGGUAACUUGCAUGUCACGGAGGAGGUUUAGUGUACAUUUGUUUUUGUCACCCAGGUAAUCAGCAUAAUACACAAUAGGUAGUUUAAGUGAAGUUUUCUUCAACGCUUUUAGUCAAAGAGCAUGGAAACCAACUGUACGUGUGACUGACUUUCUUCCUCCCUCCAGGGGAGCCAUCUGUGAGCCACACUCUUGUCUCAUUCCUGUGGGCAUCUCUCUGCCUCUGUGCAUGGCGUUCAGGCAACAGAGCCUGUGGCAGACUGUAGGGCUAAUCACCUAAACUGGUGACCCUGUUUGGGUUGGAAAGAUUACCAAUGUGUUGAUGUCUGUGCACCCAUUGUUGUGUGUGGAAAGAUGGUGGAUUCAGGUAAGACAACUAUCAGAGAUCCAAUUAACAGGUAACCAGAACAUCCAGAAACUCGCAACCUUUUUUGCUUCUACUUUACAUUUCAGAGGCGUGAAGUGGUUGAUUCUAUCCUUGGUUUCAGUUUUAAAAUGGCCCUACAUGCUAUUUCGUAAAUUAUUUUUCCACAUUUAUCAUUUCAACAAGAUGUGCUGUGGGAAGAUCCUUCCUGCAUAUGCUGUCUAUUCAUGCUGAUUUUUGUGUUGCAGUUCUGACCUUCUCAUUUAUCUAAUGUGCAGCUGUCAAGGGCCUAUCAUGACUUAAAAUGUGUAACCCUAUGUUGGCUUUUGGAGCCAACAGAUUUGAAGUAAAGUUAUCCCUAAAGAAAAUUUGGCUUCCCCAAUUUUAAAUUGGUGAAAUAAUGAAACUUAGUGACCAAAAUAUGUAAAUUUAAGCAUUAAAGGGGAAGAAAUAAAGAGAUGAACAGAAAAAAGAA